AGUUUUGCGCAGUGGCAGUAUCGUAGCCAAUGAGGUUUAUCCCAGGCACGAUUAUUGCUAAUUGAAAACUUUUCCCAAUACCGGGCCAUGAUGACUUGAAAUAUAGUUGGCAUUGGCAAUUUUUGAAAAAAAAAAAA
rnacentral:snRNA from 1 species